UACGUAGGGGGCAAGCGUUUGUCCGGAUUUAUUGGGCGUAAAGAGCGUGUAGGCGGCUUUACAGGUCCGUUGUGAAAACUCGAGGCUCAACCUCGAGACGCCGGUGGAAACCGUAAAGCUAGAGUCCGGAAGAGGAGAGUGGAAUUCCCGGUGUAGCGGUGAAAUGCGCAGAUAUCGGGAGGAACACCGGUGGCGAAGGCGGAUCUCUGGGCCUUGCCUGACGCUGAGGCGCGAAAGCUAGGGGAGCGAACAGG
rnacentral:rRNA from 1 species